UACGAAGGGGGCUAGCGUUGCUCGGAAUCACUGGGCGUAAAGCGCACGUAGGCGGAUCUUUAAGUCAGGGGUGAAAUCCUGGAGCUCAACUCCAGAACUGCCUUUGAUACUGAGGAUCUUGAGUAUGGGAGAGGUGAGUGGAAUUUCCGGUGUAGCGGUGAAAUGCGUAGAUAUCGGAAGGAACACCUGUGGCGAAAGCGGCUCACUGGACCAUUACUGACGCUGAGGCACGAAAGCUAGGGGAGCAAACAGG
rnacentral:rRNA from 1 species